rnacentral:rRNA from 1 species
AGGGUGCAGGGCGGAUGCCUUGGCACUAGGAGCCGAUGAAGGACGUGAUAAGCUGCGAUAAGCUUCGGGGAGUUGCACGUAAACUUUGAUCCGAAGAUUUCCGAAUGAGGAAACUCACUUAGAGUAAUGUCUAAGUAUCAUUAAGUGAAUACAUAGCUUAAUGAGGGGAACUCAGGGAACUGAAACAUCUAAGUACCUGAAGGAAGAGAAAGAAAUUCGAUUCCGUAAGUAGCGGCGAGCGAACGCGGAUUAGCCCAAACCAAUAAAGUUUUCUUUAUUGGGGUUGCGGACAUAUCAUAACGAAGAGNUAUCGUAAUUGAAGAGGUUUGGAAAGACCCACCACAGAAGGUAAUAGUCCUGUAUGUUAAACGAGAAGACUUUAGAUAUGAUCCAGAGUACCACGGGACACGUGAAACCCUGUGGGAAGCAGGAGGGACCACCCUCCAAGGCUAAAUACUACCUAGUGACCGAUAGCGUAUAGUACCGUGAGGGAAAGGUGAAAAGAACCCCGGGAGGGGAGUGAAAUAGAACCUGAAACCCUGCACUUACAAGCUGUGGAAGCACAUUUCUUGUGUGACCGCGUACUUUUUGUAGAACGGGCCAACGAGUUACGUUAAGUAGCAAGGUUAAGCACUUAAGGUGUGGAGCCGUAGCGAAAGCGAGUUUUAACUGAGCGUUCAGUUACUUGACGUAGACCCGAAACCGGGCGACCUACCCAUGAGCAGGAUGAAGCGAAAGUAAAAUUUCGUGGAGGUCCGAACCCACGAGCGUUGAAAAGCUCGGGGAUGACUUGUGGGUAGCGGUGAAAUUCCAAUCGAGCCCGGAGAUAGCUGGUUCUCCCCGAAAUAGCUUUAGGGCUAGCCUCAAGGUGAGAGAUACGGAGGUAGAGCACUGAAUGUCCUAGGGGGUAUUGCACCUACCGAAGACUAUCAAACUCCGAAUGCCGUCAUCUUAUACUUGGGAGUCAGACUGUGGGUGAUAAGAUUCAUAGUCGAAAGGGCAACAGCCCAGAUCGUCAGCUAAGGUCCCUAAAUGUAAGUUAAGUGGUAAAGGAUGUGGGAUUGCACAGACAACCAGGAUGUUGGCUUAGAAGCAGCCACUCAUUCAAAGAGUGCGUAAUAGCUCACUGGUCGAGUGAUCCUGCGCCGAAGAUUUCCGGGGCUAAAACUUACUACCGAAGCUACGGCAUCAGUAAUGAUGGGUAGGGGAGCUUCCCAUACGGGUUGAAGCAUGACCGUAAGGACAUGUGGACAGUAUGGGAGUGAGAAUGUUGGCAUGAGUAGCGAGAUGUGGGUGAGAAUCCCACAGGCCGUAAACCCAAGGUUUCCAGGGGAAGGUUCGUCCGCCCUGGGUUAGUCGGGACCUAAGCUGAGGCCGAAAGGCGUAGGUGAUGGACAACAGGUUGAUAUUCCUGUACUACCGAUAACCGUUUGAGAGAAGGGAUGACACAGUAGGAUAAGCUAAGCACACUGUUGGUUAUGUGUGCCCAAGCAUUGAGGCAGUCAAAGUAGGCAAAUCCGCUUUGAUAAUGCUGGGAUGUGAUGGGGAGCGAAAUUUAGUAGCGAAGUAGCUGAUUUCACACUGUCAAGAAAAGUCUCUAUCGAGGUUAAAGGUACCCGUACCGCAAACCGACACAGGUGGGUGAGGAGAGUAUCCUAAGGCCAGCGAGAGAACUGUUGUUAAGGAACUCGGCAAAAUGACCCCGUAACUUAGGGAUAAGGGGUGCCACCAUCAGGUGGCCGCAGAGAAUAGGCCCAAGCGACUGUUUACCAAAAACAUAGGUUUCUGCUAAGUCGCAAGACGAUGUAUAGGAGCUGACGCCUGCCCGGUGCUGGAAGGUUAAGGGGAUCUGUUAGAGCAAUCGAAGCAGUGAACUUAAGCCCCAGUAAACGGCGGCCGUAACUAUAACGGUCCUAAGGUAGCGAAAUUCCUUGUCGGGUAAGUUCCGACCCGCACGAAAGGCGUAACGAUUUGGGCACUGUCUCAACAACAGACUCGGUGAAAUUGUAAUUCCGGUGAAGAUGCCGGAUACCUGCGACAGGACGGAAAGACCCCAUGGAGCUUUACUGUAGCUUGACAUUGGGUCUUGGUACUACAUGUACAGGAUAGGUGGGAGGCUUUGAAACCAGGACGCCAGUUUUGGCGGAGCCAUCCUUGGGAUACCACCCUUGUAGUACUGGGACUCUAACCAUAGGCCAUGAAUCUGGUCUUGGGACACUGUCAGGUGGGCAGUUUGACUGGGGCGGUCGCCUCCCAAAAGGUAACGGAGGCGCUCAAAGGUUCUCUCAGUACGGUCGGAAAUCGUACGUAGAGUGUAAAGGCAAAAGAGAGCUUGAUUGCAAGACAUACAGGUCGAGCAAGGAUGAAAAUCGGACUUAGUGAUCCGGUGGUUCUGCGUGGAAGGGCCAUCGCUCAACGGAUAAAAGCUACCCUGGGGAUAACAGGCUUAUCUCCCCCAAGAGUCCACAUCGACGGGGAGGUUUGGCACCUCGAUGUCGGCUCAUCACAUCCUGGGGCUGUAGUAGGUCCCAAGGGUUGGGCUGUUCGCCCAUUAAAGUGGUACGCGAGCUGGGUUCAGAACGUCGUGAGACAGUUCGGUCCCUAUCCGUCGCAGGCGUAGGAAAUUUGAGAAGACCUGUCCUUAGUACGAGAGGACCGGGAUGGACGUACCUCUGGUGUACCAGUUGUCCUGCCAAGGGCAUGGCUGGGUAGCUAUGUACGGAAUGGAUAAGCGCUGAAAGCAUCUAAGCGCGAAGCCAACUUCAAGAUAAGAUUUCCCACCGCAAGGGUAAGACCCCAGAAAGACUAUCUGGUUGAUAGGUCGAAGGUGUAAGUGCAGCAAUGUAUUUAGCUUAUCGAUACUAAUAGGUCGAGGACUUGACC